rnacentral:rRNA from 1 species
UAAGGAAUAUUGGUCAAUGGGCGCAAGCCUGAACCAGCCAUGCCGCGUGCAGGAAGACGGCCCUAUGGGUUGUAAACUGCUUUUGUCAGGGAAUAAACCCCCGCUCGUGAGCGGGGCUGAAGGUACCUGAAGAAUAAGCAUCGGCUAACUCCGUGCCAGCAGCCGCGGUAAUACGGAGGAUGCAAGCGUUAUCCGGAUUCAUUGGGUUUAAAGGGUGCGCAGGCGGAUUGGUAAGUCAGGGGUGAAAUCCCACAGCUCAACUGUGGAACUGCCUUUGAUACUGUCAGUCUAGAGUAUAGUUGAAGUGGGCGGAAUGUGUCAUGUAGCGGUGAAAUGCUUAGAUAUGACACAGAACACCGAUCGCGAAGGCAGCCCGCUAAGCUAUAACUGACGCUCAUGCACGAAAGCGUGGGGAUCAAACAG